UACGUAGGGUGCAAGCGUUGUCCGGAAUUACUGGGCGUAAAGGGCUCGUAGGCGGCCAACUAAGUCGGAUGUGAAAUCCCCAGGCUUAACCUGGGAACUGCAUCCGAUACUGGAUGGCUUGAAUUCGGGAGAGGGAUGCAGAAUUCCAGGUGCAGCGGUGAAAUGCGUAGAUAUCUGGAGGAAUACCGGUGGCGAAGGCGGCAUCCUGGACCGAGAUUGACGCUGAUGAGCGAAAGCUAGGGGAGCAAACGGG
rnacentral:rRNA from 1 species